rnacentral:rRNA from 1 species
UACGUAGGGUGCGAGCGUUGUCCGGAAUUAUUGGGCGUAAAGAGCUUGUAGGCGGUCUGUCGCGUCUGCUGUGAAAAUCCGGGGCUCAACCCCGGACUUGCAGUGGGGUACGGGCAGACUAGAGUGUGGUAGGGGAGACUGGAAUUCCUGGUGUAGCGGUGAAAUGCGCAGAUAUCAGGAAGAACACCCCGUGGCGAAGGCGGCUCUCUGGGACGGUACUGGACGCUGAGACGCGAAAGCGUGGGGAGCAAACAGG